UCCGACAAUAUCCAACACAAUUCCUUUAGCGGUCUCGGACAUCUUAACUCCGUCUCUUAGACACGACCCAAAAAGCAACAUCAAUCCCCCGGGGACAAGCUCUUCAGCUCUAGCGUCUAGUAGAUUCUUGGUGUCAGCCGAGUACUGAUCAAGAUAAGCUUUCUUGACCGCUUCGUUGAAGCCAGUGCAGUGCAUGUCUCUGUUCCACGAGGGAGAGUCCCGGUCAGUGAUCCCUUUGGGGAUUUUGGAGGUGAAAUGAAACGCGUAAUUGAUAACUCCAAUGUGGAAACUCUGCUUAGGAAGAACACGUUCGAAGAAAGAACCAGGAACCCCGGCGCUAUAGUAUCGCCUGCCCUGAGGAAGUGACUGGAAGAGAGUGUUGAAAUCGUUGGUGGUAAAGUCGUUGAAGAGGACUUGAAACUCGAUGUUAUCUGCCGGGUUUUGUCCGGUUUCUUUACGGUACUUGUCUUCUACAGCAUCUAUUAUGUUUUGGACGGCCACAAAAGUGUUUGGUCCAGUCGCACAACCGAAAUCCGCUACACUGAAGCGAUCAGAGAUCAUGUCAAGGCUGAGUUUUGAUGAGAUUGCCUCGUUCAUCUUUUCUUUUGCGGCUUCCAACAACGCUCUCUGUGAGAAACCAAAUCAAAGAGGAGAUUAUAAUACAUAAUAUCAAUCCAAAUACCACGUAGGAAGUUUAAAUAUCAGAAUUGCAGAUCUUAGACAGAAAUUUCAAAAUCAUUUAACCUGAUAGUAUGAAUUCUGGUUGUAACUCUCAGGACCUUCUCCUCCAACCAUGACCCAUUCUGGAGUGGCAGACAUGAUUGAUCUUCUCUUUCUCUGUUCUCACUCUUCUUUUCUUGUUUGGUAGUUAAUAUUUGAUGAGAAUUGUGAUAAUCAGCGGCUGCCUCGAUGCAUAUUUAUAUACUCAACACAUGCCUCGUGCUAUCUCCUUGCUCAAGGCAUAAAGGUAAUCAGUUUAACUGAUUAAAAAUAUAUGAAAAUGGUUGAAUAAUUUUAGUCAAUAUUAUUGACUGAAAAUAAUUAUAAUAGCCAACCACACACUUAGCUCUGUCCUCAUUUUACAUGUGGCUUUUUUUCUUUCGCAUUAUUUAAUCUUAACAAUAAUAUAACGUAGAAAAAUCAAAAAUGUACUAUACGACUUUUAUUACUCCAAGACAAAAAUAAUUCUGAAUGAAGAAAGGUCCUUGAUAGAAUUAUAAGGUCAAAUGACAAUGAAAUAAAUAUUAAUAAGAUUGUUUCGUGAGAUGUUAAGAAAGAAAAAAAGACAAUAGCAUUGAUUUGACAUUAAUUAUGGUUUCAACGAUAUUAACCUUCAUAAACCAUUAGGAAAGGAUUUUUUUGGCGUUUCGUAAUUGUAAUUUUUUUUUCGUAAUUAUAUAAUUCAGAAGUGGUUUGGCUGAUUUUUGGAAUGUGUGACAUAUUUCAGGUUUGAAUGCACACAACUCGCAUCAAAAUAAAAUUGAUUAUGGAAACAAAAAUAACAGAUCUAAUAAUUUGGUAGCGAAUAAGGUUUUACUAAAAAAAAAGUGUUGUGUAAUUUCAUUUUUUUGUGUUGUUGUUUUCAACAUAUGACAUAUAUUUUGUUUAUGUAGUAAUUUGCAUUCCGAAGAUUAUGUAUAAUAAAUUUAUAUACCCGAUUCAAAUACUGAAAGUAGUAAGGUGCAGAAAAAAAAAUGUCAGAAAAGCAAGGUUUAGUGCAUUUUAUAUGGCCUAACUGAAGGAGAAAUGAAGACACACAACUAUAAGGUCGAUGUCACACACAGACACUCCUGUAAAACAUUUGGUACUCAAAUUCAUAUGUUGUUAAGGAUUUAUAUGUGAAGGAAGUUAAUUAUAUAAAGGAUUCAUGUUUUGUUGCUAUUAAUCCACGAAAGUGUGUUUAGGUGAAUAUGAUUACUGAUUGUUAUCAAUGUCCGGUGAUCAUAUAGUGUCUGUGCAGACUGUUAAUAUGGAAAAAGAAAUUUGUGUAAGGUCGAUAUUAAAAUUUAUAGUUUAUUGAUCUAUCGCAAAUGAUCAUUUAGAGGAUUCGAAAUGAUUCUGAGUCCUUAACUUCACAAUUCUAUAAUUUGUAGGGGUGUUCAAUCUGCAUAUCGAUUUUGUUGCAGUUAUUUUUUUGUUUAAAUUAUGAAUUGUUACAAAUAAUUGUAAUCUUUUAUAUUAACUUGUUAGAAAUAAAUAUAAAACGGUAUAUAUUAUGAUUUAUUGGAAAAUGUAGUUCUUAUAUUGUGAAUAAUUUUUCUAAUAUAUAAUAUAUCUUUUAAUAACGUGUUUUAUUUAUAUCUAAUUCACUAAAAAUCAAUAGUACCUAUAAAUUUGACACUAAGAAAAUGUUUUUAUCUCUUGGAUAAAUAUUUUAUAUUAAUUGCAACAUACAUUUUAACAUUUAACAUUUUUGUUACUGCAUACAUUAUAUAGAAGAUAUGAGAUAUAUACAUUUUGUUAUGGUACAAUAUUUUUAUCAUGUUACGAAAACAUGUAAAUUGUUAUUUAGCUAUAUUGUAUCUGCAUGUCAAUGUUUUUAAAUCCGACCCAAAAAGCAAACCGGAAUACCUUCUAGGUCACCGGGUUAUUAGGUCAAUCGGAGUCGAGCCAGGUCAACCGCGGAUCAUUAACUUAAUAAAUUUGUAUAUAAUAUAUUAAUAUAAGAAUAAAUAUAUACAUUUUUGUUAAAAAAAAAAGUUAUUGCACAAAAAAUAUAUACAUAUUUCAAUGAAACAUGAUAUAAAUAUUGUAACAAAUACAAAAAAAACAAAAUUUCAAUGACUCAUCAAUAAAAAAAAAGCAACAAUAUAAAUUAAUUAAUUAUGUAACAAUAUGAAAUUAAUAAUAUGAAACAAUUGAAGUGAACAAUUAAUUAUACAUAAAGAUAAAGAGAAAUUUGAAAAAAUUGUUAAAGAUAUAAACAUGUUUUAGGUUUUCUCUAGUCGCAACUAGUGAAUAAAAAAAAAAACAAAAAGUUCUAAAACGAAGUGAAUAAACUGUAAAUUAUAUAUUUCAACUCCAAAAACCUUUCAAUUUUAUUCAGGGCAUACCUACUAGUAGAUCUUACAUGCCAGAUUAGCUUGGGUGGCACUUUACAAAAUCCGGACAAUACAUGGUUAAAUCUGGAUAUAAGACAGAAAGGGAUAUUCCCGAGGACGUCCAUUUGGAUCCCUAUAGUCCAGACAUCAAAGCAUUACAAGCAUAUGCCUGGAAAUUAAAAUGUGCACCCAAACUACGACAUUUUAUUUGGCAAGUUCUAUCCCACUGUCUCUCAGUACCAGCUAGAUUACGCACUCGAGAAAUACAAUGCGACACGCAAUAUGCAUGGUGUGGAGUAGAGGAAGAAACAAUUAAUUAUGUUCUGUUUGAAUGUCCCCCGACCUUAUAGACAUGGGCAUUAUCCCAAAUUCAGUCGCCCCCUGGGAUAUUCCCGGGAUCAUCGGUUUAUUCAAAUUUUGAUCAUCUUUUCUGGAGAAUCCCACAAGGGACGAAAAAUACUCAAUAUCUUUGGAUUGCAUGGUAUAUAUGGAAGGCGCGGAAUGAAAAAGUAUACUCGAACAAAGAUAUUGAUCCACAGGUCACGUUAAAAAUAGCGGAAACAAAGGCGAAUCUGUGGGAGGAGACCCAAAAGGAGGAACACGAGCCACCCAACUUGAAUAUUACCAAUGUUCAAUGUUUACCAUGCACGACUUAUAAGGGCUGUGGUGUUAUAUAGAUGGCUCUUGGAAAGAUACAGACUCAUUUGCAGGACUAGGAUGGUAUUACUUUAAAGAAGAAAUUACGAACACAAUAAUGUGAGCACAGAAAGUAAGACGGAGUCUCACGGCUCUUCAUGCAGAAGUAGAGGCCCUCAUAUGGGCGAUGCAUUGCAUGAUUCUCAACCAGAAGAUGGAAGUAGCUUUUGCAACAGACUGUUCGGAGAUGGUGAAGAUGGUGUCUACACCCGACGAAUGGCCAGCUUUCGCUCUACAUUUCGAGGAGAUCGGAAGAAUGAAGGACAUCUUCAAUUUCUUCCUCCUUACACAUAUCCUGCGCACGAAGAAUUUGAAGGCGGACAACCUGGCAAGGAGUGCCCGGAUCCACCCUCAAGAAAUCAUCUAUGUAAACUCUGUAUCUCCGGUUUGGCUAGUCGAACCGUUCUAGUUAGUUAAAGCUGUUGACAAAAAAAAACCUUUAAAUUUUUUUGUUAUUUUAAAAAAUUUUCAUUAUCCGGUAUUCGGUUGGUUUAUCCGGGUCGUCGGAUCACCGGUUAAUGAUGAUUUUUUCUGGAUUUUACCGAUUUAAUAACUAGCGAGUUUUAAUACUACACUCAAACCAGAAUAGUGACUGGAUUCUGAGUUUACCGGUCCGACUGGGCGGGUUGGUCCGAGUUUCAAAACAUUGCUGCAUGUGUUUUUCCAUAUAACUCAAUCAUUGUUUCUUUAUAAAGUUACCAUUGAUUUUAUCAAAUGCCACUACACUAAGGAUAAAGAAAAAUCAAGUUAACGUUUUUCUUAGUUUUGUUUUUUUUUUACCUAGUUUUAUAUACAGUUUCUAUAUUAUUAAGCUAAUUGGCUCUACCUAAUUAUUUGAUGAGAGUCUGAUAAUCCAUGGGCGUCUAUGCAUAUUUAUAAUAUCCGUAAAAUAGCAAUAACUUUAAUAUACUUAAUUAAACAUGUGAACACUGUAAAGACAUCUUCUAUGAAACUUUUUAAGAAGCAUUAUUAGUUCAACACAAUGACUCUGCGCUGUACUCGUUAUCAUUAAGUAAUCUAGAGAUUAUCAUAACGUAGUAAUGAAACAUACAAUAUUAUUUUUUAAGCGCACAAUAAACGUGCCAAGACACCAAUUAUUAACGAAAAUAUUUCAUUCACAUGUAGAUAUAUGCUCCCUGUCUGGUGCCUGUAGGUGAACAGCUGGUGGUUUUGGCAAGUGGAAAUCAGAGACGAUGUAUAUUCAACUUAUAAAUUAGAGAUCUUAUUACAACUGAGGAACUACAUGUGUAAGACAAGAUUUCCUCAGAGCUUGAGUCUCCAACUACUCUUACAAGAGACAGGAAAUGUUGUGAACAUCUGACAUGAUAGUUGGAGAUUUUGUAAAAUAAUAUAUAAAAAAUAAUGAUAAAUUUAUUUAUUGUCAAUUGAUUUUGAGUUGGAAGUAUAUAAACCCAUAUUUAACAUGGUAUCAAAACUAUCCGAUCUUUGCGUCUUUUCCAAUCGGACCUUUCUGUAAAUAUUUAUUCUCACAAGUUUCCAUGCUUUAAUCCUGAUUGGUUUGAGCGUGAGGAGAAGUAUUGUGCAAGUCUCACGUCGGUAAUUGGAGAAUUAUGAAAUAAUAUAUAAAAAGUAAAAAUCAUUCUACUUAUCGUCGAUUUUGAGUUAAAAACCCAUAAACCCAUAAACCCAUAUUUAACAAGAGAAAUAGAAUAGCUUAAGUUUUUUCAUAUAAAUCUACUUAUUUUUAUAUGAAAUGAACUUUUCAUGUUGACGUUGAAGAUCGUUAUUCCAAGUUCAAAAAAUAAAAACAACUUUUAUCUUUACUCCUUAUCUCCUAUAACACUGGAUAAAAGUCGUGCCAAAAACAAUUAACAGCAGUCUUAACAAUCAAGAAAUAAUCUUGCAAAUGUAAAACUUCAAUUAUCUCACAAAACAACGAUAUGAUGUAAGUAAAAAAAGCUAAGUUAUUAAUUAAAUUUACUCUUUCAACUAUCAAAACACAGAACGGAAAAUUAUAUUAAUUAUUAUUAAAAAUUAGCAGUAUAUCCAUUGGAGGAAUUAAUUUCUGUAACAUUAUUUAGGUUAAUUGUUACAUAAAUUUUCUACAGAUAUUAAAUUCAAAAUACCUACUAAACCGAAUUAUUUAGAUAUUCCAAUAAAUAUCACUGGUUACAUCUCAUUUUUUCAAAAAUAUAUAUUAACAAAUAUGCGCAUAGUGUGAAUCUAAAACGUAGUUCUAUUUUGACUCUUUAUUUUGUUUUUUAGCUUAGCGAUCAGUAUUCCACGCAGAAUUGCCUCUUUCUAUUUAAAAGAAAAAAAAUCAAUAUUGGUUGUGGUAAUAGUACCUCAAAAAAAAAAAUCUUAAUUUUCAAUCAAUUCUAUAGUUUGGCUAUCUAAUUUUAUUAAGCCUUGAAUCAUUUUGUGGUAUAUAAGCUUAAAGAAAUAAAAUAUUUUUAGGGUUGCGUUUAGAAAAAAAAUUCCAAUAUGUUUUUCCUAAUAUCCUUAACUUUUUUUUUUAGUUAAAUGUUAAGAUAUUAUCCUUAACUUUAUUUCUUAGUACAAGCAAUUUCGUAUGACGUGAAGCAUUGGUCAAAGUAAAAGAUGCUGACCAAUCUCUACGGAGACUAUGAUUUUACUGCCAAACCAAUCUUUUAUCAUACUUUUCAAAGUAAACGAUAGAAGAUAGUGAUCAGUUACGCCCCCACUAAGACCUCGACUAACUUUGAAAGUAGAACUUUUAUAAAUUAAUAUCGAUAAAUUAAUAAAUUUUGCUGGUUUUAAGUUGAGUCAAUAUAAAAAUUUAUUAAAUUCGAUAAAAUAAUAAAAUAAUAAUUAAAAAUCCUUAUAUAAAUAUAUGAUCCCAACAAAAACAUAAGUUAAUAAUUAUAUAAAUUUCUGUAAAUAUAUGUAAAUAUAAUAUUCUAAAAUAUGAUUAAUGUGUUUGCUUUUAGUUAAUGCUGAAAAUCUCAUUAGAUUUCAUCUCUAAUUAUUAUAUCAGUAGUUCUUAUUGGUGUUUUAUGAUAUACAUUCAAAAUUUAUGAUGAUUUUUUGAUAUAAUGAUUAAUUUUCUUACCUGUAAAUGUUUUUAAAUGUAUUGCAAUGUUAUCUUAAUUUUAUCAUCAAUAAUAUGGAUAGUAGCCAUAGUUUUUUUUUUUUAUAAAUUUUAAACUUAUGAAUAUAUAUAUUUUUACAUGGAUAAUUCAAUAUGGUAUUAAAAAUUAUUUUAUUGUGAUAAUUAUAAUUGUUAAUCAUAAUUUAUAUUACAAGAUUUGUUAAAAAUUUAAAAUAUAACAUUAUUCCAAAGAAUUUUAAAAAAAUUAUAGGUUGAAAAACAAUUCUCUAAUAAUAUCACGAUAAACUAAUAAAAUAUCAUGGUCCCGAUAUUAUUAAUUUAUAGAGGUUUUACUGUAUAUUUUUUUGGUAAAAAUGUUAAAGAUUAUAUUAUCAAUUUUUAAUUUUUUAACUGAAGUUACAGAGGUUACAAAGAUAUCAAAUUAACCAAAAACAACUAAUAACAAACCCGACAUAAAAUAGCAGACUACAACGAAAGGCUAAGAAUAACAGAUUGUGGAAAUAGAAAUGAAAACUGAAACAAAACCAAAUGGGAAAGCAGCAAUCGCACAACUAAAGGAAGUAUACAUAUAUUUCUUUGAAUUUGGUGUUUUCCAUUGAAAAUUUGAAUAAUUCUUGUAAACUACAUUUGUACUUCGAACUGCAUUGUAAAUGUAGUUUAGCGCAACAUUUUAAAGUAAAUUCUAAUUUAUUUAACAGAGAUAAUCUUAAAAAAAUGACACAAAGAGCAUUCAAAGCAUGUACUACUAAAAUCCAAGAACUCAAAGAGAGACGAUGAACUUCUAAAAGUCUUUCGUGGUCUAUAAUAUUCCAAAACUUCUAAAUAGACGGCAAAGACGACAUCAUGUGGAUCAAUUGAAUGACAUAAAGACUCUGUUAGACACUCUCCGGGCGCAACGAGUUUUGGAAGCGGAGGACAUCCCUCUAUGGAAAUCAAAUGGGACACCUACAAGUCGGUUUUCAAUACAAAAAAAACAUACAGUACAAACUCUAUAAAUUAAUAAUAUUGGAACUUUAAUAUUUUAUUAAUUUAUAGAAUUCUUAAAUUUAUCAUUUUGACUAAAAAACUAAAUAAUACUUAUUUAAUUUAAACAAUUCUUUUUUAAAAAUUACAAUCUCUUAAAACUUCUAUUAAUUUGAAGUAAUCAUUUUUUUGCAAUAAAAAUAUCACCAAAAUUUAAUACGUUAUAAAAAGUUAUAGCCAAGAACCAUGUUGAUAUUAGAUUGUAAAUAAUAUAAAAAGUUUUGGAAAUAUUUACGCGCAAAAAGAUUUAUCACGUCUAGAAAGUUUCACAAAUUUUGAUGCAAUAAAAAAAUGAAGAUGAACUCCAAACAGAUUUCAUUUUAAGUAAAAAAAAACAACAUUUGAUUUAUAUUUUAGUAUUUUAUUUUAAUUAUAUCUAUAUAUAAGUUUUAAUAAAAUAGUUAUUAAUUUAUGAUAUUGAUGGGACCAUAUAUUUAUAUGAAAAUUUUGUUAAAAUUAUUAUUUUAUUAUUUUAUCGAAUUGUGUUAUAUUUUGAACUAGUCCAACUAGAGAUCACAAAAAAUUAUUAAUUGAUGGUGUUUAUUAAUUUAUCGAGUAUUAAUUUAUAGAGUUAAUUACUGUAGCUUCUUUUACGAGAGGCAGGACCAGAGAUAAAUUGGCAUUAAUGUGUUUGGUUCACCCAUUCAACUCCGAAGUACUCAUUUCUAGCCUGGUUAGCGAUUCUUAACCGUUUGUCCACUGGUGAUCACAUGCAAACAUGGAACACAGGAGCAAGCACCUCUUGUGUAAUACGUCAUGAACCAGUGGAGACUAGAACUCACCUAUUUUUUUCUUGUCAAUACUCGAAAGAAGUCUAGAGGGCCAUGAGCAAAGGACUACUCAAAACGCAAUUCUCAACACAAUGGGACCGCAUCAUAUUAAUCAUCUCGGCCACAGGGACAGAAUCCCUCACUUCCUUACUCGAUAUGUCUUUCAAGUGACGCUCCAUAGCAUUUGGAGAGAAAGGAAUUCCAGACGACACAGAGAGCAGCCAGUGCCUUCAGCUAGUCUUAUCAAGCUUAUAAGCAUGUUCAAAACCGUUUAUCUUCUAUCAGAUCAUUGGGUGGCACAAGAUAGGAGGAAGCUUUGGAGCUCUGGUUCAAGCAAGAAAUGAAAGAUAACAACUCCCUUUGUUCUAUGUUCAAAAUUAUCUAAUGAUUCUUUCGUAAAAAUUUCGAUAGCAUGUUUGCACUUGAAUUAAAAACGAUUUUUUUUUGGAGUGAAUACAAUUUUUACAUUCAAUUAAAAAAAAAAGAUUUCUCAGAUCUUCAUCAUUUUCAAUUUUUGAAUUUUUUAUACUUUUGUCUUUCAAGGGAUCCAUAUCGGCAAAUCUUUCAAGGAAGAUAGUUUGAUUUGGCAUUCUACGCGAUCAAAAAAAUACAAAGUAAAAUAAAAAGUAACCUUGCCAUAUUAUUCUGAAUAACCUUUUUAUUUAAAUGUUAAAGAGUUGAAUGAUAAAAAUUCUUGUGAAUGCUAAGUUUUAGACCUUAUAGUAAAUAUUCGAAUAGCGAUGGGUAUGUCUAAGUCAUUAAAAGUAAAAGUAGUUUGCGCAUUAUCUAAUUAUUCUCAAGGGCAUUGACUUGAAAUUUUAAAUUUUGUUGAAACUUGUGGAUUUGAGCUCCCUCCUUCAAACUUCUUUUUCAGUUUUCUCUUACUUGUUUGUUUGCGGGCAAGCAAAAAGCAAGUCUAAAGGGAGUUUAUGUGUAUGGUUAUUGCAUCAUUGCAGCAUUGUUUUCCCCUUUAAUCAUUCCAUACUUGCAUCAUUUUGUAGCAUAUUUUAAUCUUUUAUUUGAGUCUUGUUUUCUCUUGUCAUACAUUAUUGGACCUAAGGUUGUAUAUACUGAAUUUACAUGUGCAUUUAAGUCAUUUUAGAUACCUAUAGAGCAAGAGAAGAGCAGGACUUGUUGAGGAAGAGGAAUCAAGGAGAAGAUGACGAACAAGUAGACAACGUCUUGUAUCGGUUCUUGGACUGAUACAGGAAGGAGAUAUGGCAAAACCCGACUGACAAAGAAGAAGGUGACCUUUCUGGAAAACAAUGUAUCGGUUGUUGGGCCGAUAUAGCCAGCCAAAGUGGCGCUCCAAAGCAACAAGCAAACUCUUUGUGUGGAGGCAUGUGGGCUGUUCCAGCGACACUUCCAACCAAUAUACACACCUAUUUUACUUUAUUUUUAGGAGUCUGUCCGGUUAGUCCUCAAUCGAUCCAGUUUGAUUUUUAGAUUCGAUAAAUACAUAUUGGGUGUUUUCCUAAAUCUAACUGUUAUCUGUUCUUGCAUAUUUUCCUAAAUCUAAAAAGCAAAAACUUCUAAGUUGUUCUUGGAUCUUGAAUCCUUUUUAUGAGCAAUUAGUGAAGUUUCCUUAUCUCUUUAAAUUUGAUCUUUUUUUUAAUAUUUCUUUAAUACUAUUUUUGAAUCAUUAUUGCCUUUGUUUUUAUCAACAUGUGUGAGUAAAUAUGGAUAAUGAAUUAGGUAGAUUUGGUUGAUUGAAGAUUGAUUAAUGAUGAUGACUAGACUCAUAUUUUUAUGAGUGCACGUGAUUAUAGUGUGUAUAGUGCUAGGAUUGACCUUGCUGAUCAAAUUCUGGAUCUUGGACAUUGAAAGUGUUUUGAUAAAAUGUAUAGGUUAACUCUAAGCCAUGAAUUUUAUUCUUAGCCAAUAGAAAUUGAUAAUUACGAUGGUUUAUAUGCUAAAUAGACAUAUGCUUAAGGAUUAUUAAUUUACUAUUAGCUAGAAAACUGAUUAGUCUAGUGAUUAGUGAACUGAUUAAUAUCAUGGAAAUGGAUUAGUACUCUUUGUGUGAUUUGUGUGUCUUUGGAUUAAUAUUGAUUAAGCAUGCUAGCAUUAUAAGUUAACCACUAAUCAUACCAAAUCAAUGACCUUAGCCCAUGGUCCAUAUUUUUCUUAUGAUCGACCUUUGCUUUAUUGCUAUCUUGUUUGCUUUGUUUUAUUUUCCACUUCUCAUUUAGUUAUUAUGCAUUUACAAUAUCUCUUUUAAUUUCAUCCAUAAAAAAUCAUCUUCUCUUUAACUUAGUAAAGAUAGUAUCUUGGAUUCUCAGUGACUAGUUAGCAUCUCCUUGUGGAUUCGAUCCAUAUUUACUCACGCUUGUCUUGCACUUUGGGAUAGAUUUAGGAUCUAAAACUUUACAUUCAUCAGCAUCGCAAUUAGAAACCUCAUUGUUUUCACCUAAUCCCUGAAGCAUGAUUAUUUCGGUAUAGCUCGAGUAUUGUUGAACUUGAUGCAGAAGUACUAACCAACAUGCAAUUGUCCUCUGUGCUAUUGUUGAUGCAUGUUUGAAUAUGUGACUUUGCGUGUGUGCGUUUUAAGAUAAGUAUUUUACGUGUGAGUAGGCAAAAUCAUUUUUACUGAGUAAUUUUGUUGCUCCCACCUGAUAGCAGUAUGGGCCACAACAUCACUAAGGCCCAGAUAACUGUGAAACAAGUGAGAUGGGCUUACAAAUAAAUACAAUUAUAAACAAACACAAACCCACAUCAGUUUAAACACACAAAUUGUAUGAUUGUACGAGAAAAGCAAAGCACAACUUUGCAGAAGUAAAGACGAUGGAGCUACAUGAAAAAAUGAGGAAUGUCGAACUUGAACUUUACUUCAGUGGUGAGCGUCUGAAAGAAUAAGAUCUAGCACAUGCUAAGAAGAAUCUAAAACUAGGUUUAAUCAAGACUUGUAUAUAAAAAGCUUGUAUUAACAACUGUAAAGAGAGAGUUGAGUAGAAAGGAAUACAAAGAUAUCAUCCUUAUAAAAGUUCUUUACUUUCUCCUCCUAAAUCAUUUUUUCUUCGUGUUUGUGUGAAAUCGCGUCACGUCUAAGAUGUCAAACAUGAUAUCAGAGCGUGGAGAGGGUGUGUCUGAUUUGUUUCCUUUCCCGAUGAACAUCAAUGUGUCUAGCUUUAUGUCCAUUAAGCUUGGUGAUGAUAACUACAUGGCCUGGAAAACACUGGUUGAGGCGUUGUUGAGGAGUCAGAAGCUCCUUGGUUUCGUUGAUGGUGGCCAGAAUCAGCCAAACGAGAAGAUUUGUGUCAAGUUCUGUAAUGAAGUGUCAGAAAUUAGUAACCCAGACUUUGAAGCUUGGUUACAAACAGAUCAGCUUGUUAUUUCAUGGUUGUUUGGAACGUUUUCUGAGAGUGCUCUUGGUUACACCUAUGGUUGUCGCACUGCUUGUGAUGUUUGGAUUAUUCUUGUUGAAAACUUUAACCAGUAUUCUGUCUCUCGUGAGUAUGAUCUUUUGGCAAGUCUUCAGGUCAUGACUAAGGGAAACACAGAGAUGCGGGACUAUCUUCGUGAGUCUAAGUCUAUCUGUGAUCAUUUAAGCUCCAUUGGGAAGCCUGUGUCUAAGAAUAUGAAGAUUUUCCAUCUGCUUCAUAGUCUGGGGAAACCGUACGAAGCUUUUGCAACUUCGAUCCAGACCUCCAUGCACAAGCCUCUAGUUCCUACUUACUCUCAAGUUGUCUCUCAGCUGGUUGCCUUUGAUUACUGAUGGUGGUGUGUUGUGGGUGUCAAGUUUUACCCUAAUUGAAAUCAAUAGCCGCAAGUGCACAGCUGAUCGAUUGUAGUACUUAGGGAUCGAAUCCACAGGGAAGGAGGAUCUUUUCCUGCAAAAAACCUUUGAAAUAAGUUAAAGUAAGGAAGUCUAGAACAAAAACGGUUUAGUGGGGGUUUGGUAGUGUGUUUAAAAUCUAAAAACGAAAUCUUAAAAGAGAAUACGGAAAUUAAAUGGCGUAAUAACUAAACUUAACGAAAAUGACUAAAAAUGAUAAAAACGGAUAUUCUAAUGCUUAAAUGAAAAUGAACUAAUAAGAAAAGACAAUAUUGAACUAAAGCUUGAAAGAAAAUCGGUGUAAAUCAAUGGAGAAGAAAGCGUUGGGGUUCAGGGAAGUUUUCUCAGGGGUACGAAUGAUUCAAAACAUUGCUAGAAAGUAAAUUUUGUAAGAUCUUAGCUUAAACUUUUUGAACUGGAGUCACGGACGUAUGAAUACGCCACUGUCGUGAUCAUAGACAACUAUCUCUCUCAACCCUGACCAGUAGGUUUCCACUCUGGCCCUGGAAGAGAAAAGAUGCAUUAUGUUUAAGACUCGUCCUAAUUCACAAAUCGCCCAUAGGUAGGUUUCCACUCCUAUGUUUGUUUUGCUCUCCCAAACUAGAUCUGAUACCUGAUGAACACUUUCGUGUCACCAAGCAUCUGGAUCAGAUUGUAGUUCAUGACGCUACUCUCAUGCAGUAAAAACGAAUUCAGAAGAAAAAGUUCUAAGAUUCAGCUCAAUAGCCAAUGGAAUCCUCACCGAACAUAUAUAUCCCCAUUGAAAAUCCCUUAAUCCCAACAAUAAAACUACUCAGACAUAAUGAACGAAAUUGAAGACAUAAUAUUAAGAAGUAGAAUAGAAACUGAAAUUGAUAAAGAAAGAACAAGGGUUCAAGAGAACAAAUCUCUCUCUCCCUAAAAGCUAAAGCAAAAACAAUAAAAAUAUGAAGUAAUGAUAGAUGGUAUUCGGUUCCCCAUUUCUAGGACUCCUAAGACAUGUACUUAUAGUGCUCAAGACCUCUCUGGACGUCACUUAGGGUUUCUCCAAAUGUGGGCUUCAGAAAUGGGCUUUUUGGGCUCGGAGGUUGAAGGUCGCAGUCAGGAGUGCUCUGACCGUGGGGAAUGGGUGGUUUGUCGCGGUCGGGAUGCUCCUGACCGCGGGAAAAUGCUUGUUGGCCGCGGUGGAAGUGCUUGUCGGCUGGUUUACGGGACAUCUUGCUCUUCGCGUAUCUUUUGAUUGAACCGUUGGAUUGCCAAGCUGUAAAGUGCACUGGAAAGCUGAUACUUCCAUCUUUAAGGUCUCCAAAUUUGAGUUGGAUCAGACGGUGAGAAGGCCUUCAAUCAGGGGUGAACUUCUGACGGUUUGACUCUGAGCUGAAAUCUGGUUUUCUAUCCAUUUUGUUAAGCUUUUCCCUAAGUUUCCUGAAAAGAGUCUUGAAACUACAAAUACUAGAAAAACGUAAUAAAAGUACUUAAAAGCAAUUAAAAACAUAGAAAAAGUAUUUCAAAACGAUCCAUAAAAGUGGUCAAAAUACGGUGUUAUCAACUCCCCCAGACUUAAACCUUUGUUUGUCCUCAAACAAAGCAAAAGCCUAAACUGGUUAAGUGAAAACAAAAAUAGGAAAUGCACAAAUCUCAUAGACAUGAACUCUAAACUAGGACCAAAGAUAGUGCAUCAAUCCACAACUUAGUCUAGAAAAUUCUCACCAAAGCACAAGAGAUACUAGUCCACUUUUUCCGUCAUACAAAACUUAAACAAUUUAAAUCUUGAUUUCAGUCAACUAGCUCUCUACAUUCAUUAAGUUCAAUAGUGAGUUCUCAUUAAAGACAUCAUCCAGGGUAGACGGCGUUUGGCAUUAAAGGAUUAUUUAAGUGGUGGAGUUAAAGUGUUUCGGGUUACCUGAAGAUCUGGAGGAUGCAAGAUAAUAAGCAAAACCGCAAGAGAGAUAAGGACCUGUUGAUGACCACAGUUUUCAAUCACUUCUUCUUGCCAAAUGUUGUUGCAUAAUCCUUCCUCCUUUGUUGUAAACAGCUGUUCCCCCAGACUUAGAUUCUUUCCGAGAAUCAGAAAACAAUCUUCAAAACUCCAUAAAAUCGAACUCCAGUUGCCUUGGGACUUAAAAUUCGACCUCUCUAGACUCUCUAAGGCUUUUAUCUCCUUUCUUUUCUUAUUUUCGGAUUUUUUUUUUUUUUUGGAAAGGAAAUGCCUUUUAAAGAGAGAGAGACUAGAGGACGAGAUUGUACCAAAAUUUGAGAUUUUUCUAAGGCAAACUGAGUUUCUCUUGUAUUGAAUCCUUCCGGGAACUUUUCCGGUAAAUCGCAGGUCUCUGUCCUUGGUGAUUGAAAACUGCGUCGUUCCUCUUUCUCUCCAACGUUUUUGCACUUAUCUGCAUAUAAGACAAUAGAAAACAAGAGUGCAUGUGGUUUGAAAGAGGAUUGGUUAAGGUGGGGAACUAGCUAAAGAUGAACUAGCCAUUCAGGAUCAACAGAGAGUGGUAAAAGGAUAAAGGAGUCCUGAAUGUAUGAUUCGUUUCCCUGGUCUAAUGCUUCAAUGAGAAAAUUAACUCCAAAUUAAGUCCAAAUAAAACAGAGCUAGUGUAUCCCUUCAUCUAAAUCGAAAUCAUUCAAAUUCCUCUGGGGUACUUCGUUUCAAAUGUGCUUAGCUACCGCCUAGUCUAGUCCUAAAUCAUGAAUGAGCAUGUCACUAGGAACAGUCUAAAAACACACAGUCAACUAUCAUUGAUUCAUGUUCACCAUUCCCUUUUUAAAACGUAUUUUGUUUUGAAAACCGAUUUUGAAAAACUUUAAGGAAAAUGCAAAAGGUGUAGAUAAUGCAAGACUCAUGAAAGAAAAGUGGUUAAAAAGGGAUGAAAUCCUCCCCCAGACUUAAAUCACAUUGUCCUCAGUGUGAAACAAGUCGAGAUUGGAUGAGAAAAAUGCAUAGAUAAUCGAACUGGUAAGGACAAAGAGAACUUACCUGGAUCCGGGAUGCUGGUGGAGAUGAACCGGAUUCAUUCGAAGGGGUUUGGGAAGGUGAUUAGGUGGUGAUGAAGGUGGUGGAGGGUGAUGAAUGAGGUGGAGGGUGAUUGGUGAGGUGGAAUGGGGUGAAGUGGGUGGUUUGGGUCGGGCUUGGAUGUCAACGACCAAGUGUCGCGGUCAGGGGCUGCACGACCGCGGCAAUCAAGCACUUGGCCGCUGUCAGGACUACGCGACCGCGGCCGACGGUAGGUUUCCCGCGGUCAGAAUGUCUGCGACCGUGGGGGCUUAUAUCGCGGCCUCUUCCUGCUUCUCCUUGGUUCCUGCUGGGCCGAGCAGUCAGGUACCAUCCUUCUUUUUGGUUUUUUCUGGUUUUUUUUUGAUUUUUUGGCUUUUUUGUUUUAUAAGAAACACCUGAAACUAAGAAAAAGAAAGAGAUCAAAAGAAAAAGAAAGAAAAAUCCUAAAGAAAACAAUACCUAAAUGGGUUGCCUCCCAUUAAGCGCUUCUGUUUUAAGUCGUUUAGCUCGACUUUUGGUAUUGGACGUGACUUAUUCCAAUGAAGAAGACCUUGUCCUGAGACAAGUCUUUUUCGACAUCUCCUUGCUUUGCUUAGCAGGUUCUUCGUCACUCCAAAGUUCUUCUUCAAACUCUUCUGUUGCAGAACGUUUUCCUGCUUUGCUGUUGUAUGGAACAGCUUCUGUGAAGACAUCUUUGUCGAUAUUAUCAAAUGAAAUCCUCCGGUUUGGCCAGUCCAUUAUAGCUCCGGAAGUUGCUAGAAAAGACCAUCCUAGAAUCACUGGAUAUGUUGCAUCUCUCGUUUCGACAAUGUAGAAGUCGACAGGCACUAUGCAAUCUCCUAUUCUCAAAGGAAUUUCAUGAGCUAUUCCUUGAGGUGUUGCAUUAGAAUCAUCAGCUAGGCUAAUCUUUGCUCUAGUCCUGCGCAGGUGUCUAAUACCAAGUCUCAAAGCAAUUGCCUUGGACAUCAUGUUAAGACAAGCUCCAGAAUCACAUAGCACGUUUUUAAAUAUCUCUCCUCUAAUAGAACAAGAGAUAAGAAACUGACCUAUACCUUCUAUUUUAUGAAGUGUUCGAACAGGUUUACCUAUUCUGGCAUGAUUGAACAAGUCUUCUAUCUCAGGGAUUGAUUCUUUGCUCUCACAGAAGUAGUGGCCUAUCAUGAAGUCCUUGCAAGCUUUGGCAAACGUGAUUCCUUCAGGUAAAUUUCGAACCACAUCAUUGAAUUCAUCGAGCUUUUCUUUGCUGAUUUUGUUGGUGUAGUGGUUGCAGUCUUCUGGAUUUUUGAGGUGAAUCGCAUAGACAGCUGCUUCUGGUGUUGUCAUGUAUCGAGCUCUCAUAAAGUAUCUAUGGAUAUCCUCUUUAGACUCCUUGCAGUACCUGAAAAAGACUUGCAAACGACCAAGUUUCCAGAUUUCAUCAAAGCUUAAAUGAGCAGGGAAUGACCUGACUACGUUGUUGAACUCCAUUAGUUUUUCUCUACUGAUGUUGUUGGUGAUCCAUUGAAUCUCUCCUGAGUCGUCUUCCGAGGAAUAUCCUGCGUUUGGAUCUUCUACAAACAACCCAUACUCUUCAUCUUCAGAGUAUUGCUCUUCAUACUCAUCUUCACAAGACAAAGCCAUGUUCCAAGGCCAUGAAUUGUCCUCUUCUUCAGAUCUUUGGGUGCUUAUGGAGCAAACCAGUUGUUGUUGAAGUGGUUUAGUCAUCCCAAGAGGUGUACCAGACGUACAGAUGCUUGUAUGAGCUGAACGGGACUGUUUUGGAACGUUUUUACGGUUGGCCUUGAUUGCAGGUGACGCGACCGCGGGGAAGCGACCAUGGGCCGCGGGCAGACCCAUCACGACCGCGGGGGAACGCCUGUUGGCCGCGGUCAGAGCCAACGCGACCGCGGGGAUUUGCCUCCGAGUUGCUCUGCUGCUGUUGCUUCCUCCUUUGCAUCCUUGGUGGUCUCCUGGGUCUUCUGGCUUGAUGUACUUCCUCUCUGGGCUUGAGUCUUUAGUUUUGGUUGUUGGAAUCUGCUCUCCAAGUCCUUGCAUGAUCUCCUCAACCUUUUCUUCAACUUCAUCAAGAGCAUAGACUACUUUGUCCAUGGUUGAGUCAAGCUCUUCGGUUUUGUCGAUGACUUUGUAAACCUUCUCUGAAACUUCGACUGUAAAGUCAUAAGACUCGUUCUUGGCUUCGUUUAGGGCUUUGUCCAUGUCAUCAAGUUUGAAAUCCAGGUCCAUGACUUUGUUUUUGGUGUUGCGAAGCUCAUAGUUGUGCUUUGCUUGCUCUUCCUCCAUUCUGUUGAACCUGUUAGCAAUCAUAGCUGCAUCCUUGGUUGCACGUUCCUCUAUUGAAUUGACUUGUGAGGCUAGGUUAUCGAUUUUUUCAUUGAAAAGUUUCGAUAUCCCAUCAAUCCUUUCGUUUAGAGCAGUUGUAGCGGUUGCUUGAGCUUCUAUGAAUUGUCUAAUCACGCCUUCGAGCUGACUCAGUCUGUUGCUGAGCUGGACGUUCUCAUCUUGCUGGAGAACCUGGUGAGGUAAGCGAUACAUAGAGUAUCUAGGGUUUGCCAUUUGAGGUGCGUAGGGAUCCUUCUGGAACGUUCUGUAGUCUUCGGGUUGAGUCUCUUCGUAGAGAUCGCGUAGAUGCUUCUCUCUGCGUCUGGUGGCUUGAGGAGUGUUAUAGAAACCUUCCUCAUAGUGUAUAUUUCGAUUUAUAGGAUCCAUAUCUUCUGAAAUGGAAACAAAAUAACCGAAAAAUGGAAAGUUGCCGAAAAGGGGGUUCUAGAGUCGAUUUACUAACCUUUCUCGGGUUUUGCAGAAAAGAAAACGCGUGCCUUCCCCAGCAACGGCGCCAAAAACUUGAUGGUGGUGUUUUGUGGGUGUCAAGUUUUACCCUAAUCGAAAUCAAUAGCCGCAAGUGCACAGAUGAUCGAUUGUAGUACUUAGGGAUCGAAUCCACAGGGAAAGAGGAUCUUUUCCUGCAAAAAGCCUUUGAAAUAAGUUAAAGUAAGGAAGUCUAGAACAAAAACGGUUUAGUGGGGGUUUGGUAGUGUGUUUAAAAUCUAAAAACGAAAUCUUAAAAGAGAAUAUGGAAAUUAAAUGGCGUAAUAACUAAACUUAACGAAAAUGACUAAAAAUGAUAAAAACGGAUAUUCUAAUGCUUAAAUGAAAAUGAACUAAUAAGGAAAGACAAUAUUGAACUAAAGCUUGAAAGAAAAUCGGUGUAAAUCAAUGGAGAAGAAAGCGUUGGGGUUCAGGGAAGUUUUCUCAGGGGUACGAACGAUUCAAAACAUUGCUAGAGAGUAAAUUUUGUAAGAUCUUAGCUUAAACUUUUUGAACUGGAGUCACGGACGUAUGAAUACGCCACUGUUGUGAUCAUAGACAACUAUCUCUCUCAACCCUGACCAGUAGGUUUCCACUCUGGCCCUGGAAGAGAAGAGAUGCAUUAUGUUUAAGACUCUUCCUAAUUCACAAAUCGCCCAUAGGUUGGUUUCCACUCCUAUGUUUGUUUUGCUCUCCCAAACUAGAUCUGAUACCUGAUGAACACUUUCGUGUCACCAAGCAUCUGGAUCAGAUUGUAGUUCAUGACGCUACUCUCAUGCAGUAAAAACGAAUUCAGAAGAAAAAGUUCUAAGAUUCAGCUCAAUAGCCAAUGGAAUCCUCACCGAACAUAUAUAUCCCCAUCGAAAAUCCCUUAAUCCCAACAAUAAAACUACUCAGACAUAAUGAACGAAAUUAAAGACAUAAUAUUAAGAAGUAGAAUAGAAACCGAAAUUGAUAAAGAAAGAACAAGGGUUCAAGAGAACAAAUCUCUCUCUCCCUAAAAGCUAAAGCAAAAACAAUAAAAGUAUGAAGUAAUGAUAGAUGGUAUUCGGUUCCCCAUUUCUAGGGCUCCUAAGACAUGUACUUAUAGUGCUCAAGACCUCUCUGGACGUCACUUAGGGUUUCUCCAAAUGUGGGCUUCAGAAAUGGGCUUUUUGGGCUCGGAGGUUGAAGGCUGCGGUCGGGAGUGCUCUGACCGCGGGGAAUGGGUGGUUUGCCGCGGUCGGGAUGCUCCUGACCGCGAGAAAAUGCUUGUUGGCCGCGGGUGGAAGUGCUUGCUGGCUGGUUUACGGGACAUCUUGCUCUUCGCGUAUCUUUUGAUUGAACCGUUGGAUUGCCAAGCUGUAAAGUGCACUGGAAAGCUGAUACUUCCAUCUUUAAGGUCUCAAAAUUUGAGCUGGAUCGGACGGUGAGAAGGCCUUCAAUCAGGGGUGAACUUCUGACGGUUUGACUCUGAGCUGAAAUCUGGUUUUCUAUCUAUUUUGUUAAGCUUUUCCCUAAGUUUCCUGAAAAGAGUCUUGAAACUACAAAUACUAGAAAAACGUAAUAAAAGUACUUAAAAGCAAUUAGAAACAUAGAAAAAGUAUUUCAAAACGAUCCAUAAAAGUGGUCAAAAUACGGUGUUAUCAAUUACCAUAUCAAGGUAUACACUCUUCAAAUCGUUGAUACUCAUAUAGUGUUCCAAACUAAGACAAAAUUUGGGUCCUAAUCUCCAAACUAUGGUAAUGGAGGAAGGGGUAACUCUGGUAACAGAGGACGUGGUCAUGGUGGCUACUCUACCAGAGGACGAGGGUUCAACCAACAGGUGGUUCAGGUGGUAAUGGCUCUCCUUCCCCACAGUCUCACAACAAUGAGUCUCGUCCUGUCUGUCAAAUUUGUGGAAGGACAGGUCACACAGUUAUCAAGUGUUGGAACCGUUUUGAUCAUGCCUAUCAGAGUACUGAUGUUUCUCAGGCUCUGGCUACACUGCAAAUCUCUGCUCCACCAUCACAGGAAUUGUAUCUAGAUUCGGGUGCUUCGGCUCACAUCACUAACACCAUUGCAACUCUGGAGUCAGCUCAACCAUACUAUGGACCUGAGACUGUAAUGGGGGCUGAUGGAAAAUUCCUGCCAAUCACUCAUGUUGGAUCCACUUCCCUUCCAACACCUGCAGAUAGUUUAUCCUUACAGGAUGUGUUGAUAUCCUGAUAUCAAACAACCUUUAUUGUCUGUUUCUAAACUCUGUGAUACUGCUGAAUGUGGGAUCUAUUUUGACUCUGAAAAAGUGUGUGUUAUGGAUAAAUAUAUUAAGAAGGUGUUGAAACAGGAAAGAAGGCACGAGAGUCUUCACCGGUUGAAUAACCCUGGUGUGUUGGCGUUUUAUUUUUCACGUCAACGAGCUGCUACUGAUGUUGUCUGGCACCAGCGGUUAAGACACCCUCAUCUUCAAGUUCUCGAACACCUGAAGAAUACUAGAUCUAUUUUCAGUAAUAAGAUUGGUUCUAGUUCUAUUUGUGCACCUUGUCAGAUGGGUAAGAGUUCUAGACUUCCCUUUUCUAGUUCUGAGUCUCAUGCCUUAGGACCUUUGGACAUGAUUCACUAUGAUUUAUGGGGUCCUGCUCCCUCUUUGUCGGUUCAAAGCUUUAAAUACUAUGCUAUCAUUCUGGACAACUACUCUCGUUUCAGUUGGUUUUAUCCACUGCGGUUUAAAUCAGAGUUUUAUGCUGUCUUUCUUGGGUUUCAGAAGUUAGUUGAACGUCAAUUUACUUUUGACGUGAUUGAAGUGGUGAAUUCACUAGUGAUGGAGGUGGUGAAUUCAAAGUGAUGGAGGUGGUGAAUUCACUAGUACUCAAUUGAAACAACAUUUUCUUGAUCAAAGAAUUCAGCAUUACAUGUCAUGUCCACACACACCUCAACAAAAUGGGUUAGCAGAAUGACAACAUCGUCAUCUUACAAAGCUGGGGCUCACUAUGAUGUUUCAUAGUAAACUUCCAUUUAAUUUUUGGGUUGAAGCUUUCUACACUGCAAAUUAUCUGAUCAAUUUGUUUCCUUCUUCUAUUUGGCAGUUUAAGUGUCCUUCUGAGCUUCUUCUCCAACAAAAAAAAAACUGUGUAUACAGCUUUAAGGUCUUCGGGUGUGCCUGUUAUUCUUAUCUUCCACCAUAUACAACUUCAAAGUUCGAUACAAAAUCCCUGCAAUGUGUCUUCCUUGGAUAUUAUUCUCAAUACAAAGGAUACUGAUGUCUUCAUAUUGCUACAGGUCGGGUUUUCAUCUGUAGACACGUUAUCUUUGACGAAACAAACUUCCCCUUCCAACCUCUAGCUCUGAGCAGUGUCAAUCAAUAUCCAUCUGAUCUCACAUCUCAGUGGUCUAAACUUCUCUCUGAUAUUCAUACUCAAGAAGUUGUACCUCAGGUACCACCCUCAUGAUCCACUUCUGCUGCACAUUCUCCUGUUUCUGCUACUGAUCCUGUUGCCAACGUUGAAGUGUCUACUCCUCUAGUGGUUGAACGUUCUGGGCGUAUGGCAAGCCUCGAUCUUGAUCCUAUUGGCGACAGCGUUUCUCCUUCUAUAGAGAGGACAGACACUUCACUACCAGUGCAAUCUCCUGCGGAAUAUCUUCAAGAUCAACAACAUUCAAUGGUUACACGAGGUAAAAAGGGGUUAUUUAAGCCAAGUUAAUGCUAUAUUCUGUUUGCAGAUAAGUCUAUACCACGAAUAUCAAAGACUGUUGUAGAGGCUCUAAAACAUCCUGGUUGGACUGCUGCAAUGGAUGAGGAAAUGAAGAACAUCUAUGGGAUCCAUACCUUUGAUCUUAUUGCGGUUGCUCCACAUAUGCAUGUUCUUGAUUGUCGUUGGGUUUUCACUGUGAAACUCAAAGCUGAUAGCACACUCGAUCGUCUCAAAGCAUGUUUGGUUGAAAAGGGAUUCUUACAAAAAGAGAGAAUCAAAUUUAUUGAAACAUUCAGUCUUGUCGUAAGACUACAACCAUUUGGAUUGCCACAACCAAGGAAUGGUCAAUUCAGCAGUUUGAUGUUAAAAACGCAUUUCUACAUGGAGAUAUUCAGGAGGAAGUCUUCAUGAUGCAACCACCAGGAUAUGUUGAUUCUAUGAAUCCUACACACGUUUGUAGACUUUGUAAAUUGCUUUAUGGCCUGGAACAGGCACCACGAGCUUAGUUUGAGAAUUUUGCUAAUUUUCUCUUGGAAUAUGGUUUCUUCUGCAGUCCAGCAGAUCAAUCCUUGUAUGUCUAUUAUCAUUAGCACAAGACAAUGAUUCUUCUUUUCUAUGUUGAUGAUAUAAUCCUUACUGGCAACUGCAACAUUCUACUUGCAGAGUUUGCUAAAAUGUUACACACUAAUUUCUCUAUGAAGGAUAUGGGACAACUCAGCUACUUCUUGGGAUACAAGCCAUCUUUCAUGACUCUAGCCUGUUUCUUCAUCAGGCUAAGUAUACUGAGGACAUCUUAACUACUGCAGGAAUGGCCACUUGCAAUUUAAUGCCAACACCACUUCUUCUGCAACUUGAUCAUAUAGUAUAUGGUAAUGAUUUGUUCUCUGAUCCCACUUCCUUUCAUAGCAUUGCAGGGAAAUUACAGUACUUGACCUUGACUCGUCCGGACAUCCAGCUAGCUGUCAACUUUGUCUGUCAGCAUAUGCAUGCUUCUACUGUUGCAGAUUUCACACUGAUGAAACACAUUUUGAGAUACUUGUGUGGCACGAGUUCUCUCGGUCUUCUCCUUCCAAAGAAUGGUGAUCUGUCUCUCUCUGCCUUCUGUGACAGUGAUUGGGUGGGCUGUGAAGUUACUCGAAGUUCAACUACAGGCUUCUGCACUUUCCUUGGCUCUCAUUUGAUCUCUUGGAGUGUUAAGAAGCAACCAACUAUCUCACGGUCAUCUAGUGAAGCAGAGUAUCGUGCUCUGGCUUCCACAGCUGCUGGACUAACGUGGAUAUCCAGUGUCUUGCAUGAUAUUGGCAUCAGAGAGUCUUCACCAGCUCGACUACACUGUGACAAUCUCUCUGCAGUUCACCUUACAGCAAAUCCUAAGUUCCACAGCUGCACCAAACAUAUGGAGGUAGAUUAUCACUUCAUUCAAGAAAAAGUUUCUCUUGGUUUCACUGAGACUUGUCAUAUAUCUGCACAACAUCAACUAAGUCCCUUGCUCUUCUACCAUUCUUGACACUUUGGAACAAACUCGGAGUUUGUCUUCCACCAACCUCGAGUUUGAGGGGGGGGGGGAUGAUAGCAGUAUGGCCCUACAACAUCACAAACCCCCAAACAAGCGUGAAACAAGUGUGAUGGACUUACAAACAAACACAAGUCCGCAUCAGUUUAAACACACAAAUCAUGUGGUUGUACGGAAAACGCAGAGCAUAACUCUGCAGAAGUAAAGACGACGGAGCUACAGGACAAAAUGAGGAAUGUCGAACUUGAGCUUUACUUCAGUGGUGAGCAUGUGAAAGGACAAGAGCUAAUACGUGCUAAGAAGAAUCCAGAACUAGGAUUUAAUUAAGACUUGUAUAUGAAAGGCUUGUAUUAACAAUUGUAAAGAGUUUAGUAGAAAGGAAUACAAAGUUAUCAACUUUAUAAAAGUUUUUUACUUUCUCACCCUAAAUCUUUUCUUCUUUGUGUUUGUGUCAAAUCCUGUCAUGUCUGAGAUGUCUAACAGCACCUCUUUCCCUUUUUAGGUAAGAGUGUUUAGUGUGGCAUGUGGCGCAAAUCAAGUAUUAGGUGUGAACUGGUUACUGGUGUUUCAAAACUACAUCGAGUUCUCCCAAUAGUUAAAAAAAAAGACCAAAUAUUUAUAGUGGAGUCUCACGGGUUAAAAUAAUUGUAGAGCCACAAAAAACGUAAUAAUUUGCAAAAAUAGAGCGGACGAAAUUAUAAAAGAGUCCAUCAAAGCUGUAAAUUUGCAACAUAAAAUUCAAAAUCAAAAUGGAAGCUCUAGUAAAAUCAUCAAGUUGAAAUCAACAAAUCGGAUUUAUGUCGAAAAACAAUUACACAACAAGUUAAAACCCUUGUAUAUGAAUUUGGGUUCCGUUGUCAAAUCUGGCUAAGAAAAUCAUGAAGAUUGUUAAAACCCUAGCAACCUAGUUUAGCGAAGAACAAAAUCACUAAAACACUUUUUCAUAGAUUAUAAAUCAGCUGAAAGAAGAAAAUGGGAAAAAUCAUAUGACACACUUCAUCAUGUGCAGACUAAAUUUAUUGAUUUAAAUUCAAGACAUCACAUAAUGCUGCGAUGAGCUGAUGAUCACCCUUCAACCAUGUAUAAAGUUGAUAUUUUGAACAUCAUGCUAGUUUACAAUGUACUUAUGAAAUUGCAUAAUGUGAUAAGAAAAAAACUUAUUUAUGUAAUCGUUAACAUUUGAUAUUCAAAUUAAAUACAUAUUCAUCAACAGUUAUUACCAGAAAACAUGCGAUUCCUGACGACCAUAUCCAUAAGAAAUCUGUCUGGGAAAUGGUGUUUCCGACGAAUUAUGGUCAUCGAAAUCAUCUUGUCAAGAACAAAAAAAAUCGGUUGGGAAUCGGUUAGAAAUUUCCGACAGAUUCCCGAAGAAAUCAUUAUUCCAACGGAUUUUUGACGGGCUUAAAUUUUUCGACUGAAUUCCGAGGGACGUAGUAUUCCCGACCCUUUUCCGAUGGCCCUAUGAUUCCCGAUGGAUUUUUGGCAGCUCUCCAAUUUUUUCAUUUACCGAUGGAUUUAGUUUUCUGACAAAAUUUUGAGAGAUAUAGAAUUUGAUAAUUUUUGACAGAUUCCCGACGGGAUCCAAUUCCAGAUGGAUUUCGGCCGGAAUGUUUUUUUUAGUUUCCGACAGAUUCCCGACGGCAUCCAAUUUCAGACGAAUUUCCGAUAAAAAAUUUUUCCGACCGAUUUCCGACUACUCCUGUAUUUUAACAAAAAAAUUAUUUAUAAUCAUUUUUAUAUUAUAUAUAUAUAUAUAACUAAAAUGCUAAAUUUAAAUUAAAUUCGAAAUUUAAUAUUAUAAAUAAAAAUAAAAUUCAUACAAAAUAUUAAAUAUCCAAAUUACAAAAUAAAAAAAAAGAAAUUCAAAUUUAUUUCUAAUUUCUUAUUCUGGUACUUCUAGUCGUUCCUGUACAUCCUCCUGUCCCCGAAAUUAGUCUCGGAAAAUCAGGAAACCUCGACCUCAUCCAGCUCGAUAUGGUUGCAAGCUCCUCUUGCAUACCACGUAGCUUCAUCUUUGUAUCCUCCUUAGUUUUCUCCAAAGUCGUUACCUUCUCCUGGAGCGUUUGGUUCUCUUCGAUAUGAUCUUUGGGAACCUAGCUAAUGCCCAAUGUCUCCUCCUUGUGUAGUACUUUUCCGAGACCACGUCGACGUCCUUUUUUGACCGGAAGUAUCUGCAAAAGUCAAACAAAUUAUAAAAGAAAGAGCAAUUUAAUUAUAAAGGAGAAACAAAAAAAAAACAAAUUUACUUCGCGAACUCAGCUGUUGAUUUUCUCGCGUGGGAAAAUGACGGGAGAGAAAGAAUGACCUUGUGACUCUUGACUGAGCUCUUCAUCCACUUUGUAACAAAUUUCAGUUACAAGAGGAUCUUGAAUUACUUUGGUGUUCUUGUUUAUGUGACAGGCCUUCGUCAGCUCUAAAUGAUUUAGAGGCUCUCCUCCUGCCGCCUUUGUCUAUAUAAAAAAAACUUAUAAAAAAUAAUUUUAAAGAAAACAACUAAUAUAAAAAAGUAUUAAAGGGAAAACAAUAUUACCAUUUGGUCUUCUCGACUCAAAAAAACUCGUCGAACCGGAGUUGUGAACAUAUUCCUCCUUGCCGUCUUGUUGACUCUUCCGGUUUUUGGAUUGUCUCUUCGACGUCUUCUCUAUCUCUGGCUGUUGCCAAUAAAGGAUCAAUUGUUGCUAGACAGAAGGAUUCAAACCUUUCAGUUUUUUUUUUACCUUUCUUCCACUUUUUUUUUCCACUCGUACAUGUGAUUAGAGUAUUGCAUAUCACACUCUUUCAGAAACAACUUCUCGAUAGUUUGGUGCGCCUGCUAUGCCAAGUAAACUCUUGCUAAAAAAUCAUUUAAAAUAUGUUAUAGUUAGAUAAUAAUAAUUAAAAAGAAAUUGUUAGUUAUAAAACUGAUAACUAAAAACUUACCAAAAAUUUUUUAAACAAAAAAAAAAUCUUUUUGAGAGGAAGAUCAGAGAAUGUCGGGUAGGGCUUAUCGAGCAUCGAAUGCAGCAUUUAUAAAAUGCAUUUGCUAAUCCCAUUGUUUGAGUAUCUAAACCUCUAUUACACAAAAAACUUAUCAUUUUCAUAAAACAUAUUACAAUAAGAUUAAAAAGUUUAAAUUUUGAUUUACCAAAUUGCAUUUCCUUGACGGCAAAGGUUAAACACCGUGCAUAACUUUUGCCCUGGCUGUAGAAGUAAGUUUAUACCAUCAUAGAACGUCUGGGAAGACAGAGAAGGCACAGAAGACUCCAGGAUCCCCGAGAUGUCAUCAAACAUAUCCGAAAUGUCAUCAGACUCCGGACUGAGACGAUGUACCAGAUGUAUGAGCCAGAAAUUCCCCGUAAUGAGGCGACGAUCUUUAAUAAAAUUUUGAAAUUUAAGUUAUAAGAACAUAUAUUUCGAAAAAAACAUAAGUUAUUGUAAAAACUUAUAAUUAAAAGAGAAAUGAGGAGAAGAUAAGAAAAAGAAAAGAAUAGAAGGAGGAACUUACCAGGAGUAGGCGAGCAGAUCUAAAAGAGAAGAGAUUAGGGAUCGCCAAAUCGAGAGGAAGAGUUGCAGGAUUCUAGGCCAAAUCGAUAGAAGGAAGAAGAAGAGAUUAGAGAAAAUCUCUAAGUCAUUCCCGAUUUAUAUUUAUUCUCGAUUCCCAACGGAGUAUUUGGUCGGGAUUCCGUCAGGAAUUCAUUAAAAAUUUCCUAACAUUUAAAAAAUGAACAUUACAUAGACUUUUAUUGAUUUUUGGGAGUGGGGUGAAUACAAACACGCUAAUUCAGACAAAAUUACCUAACAUUUAAAACAUGAACAUUACAUAGACUUUUAUUGAUUUUUGGGAGUGGGUGAAUACAAACACGCUAAUUCAGACAACGGCGAGAAGAAGAAGUAGAAGACAAAGCCAUGAGAAGAAAACAGAGAACAACAAUGGAAACACAAGCAGAAGACAAAGCCAUUAGUUCUUGCGAAGCACAAUGAGGUACUGCAUCCCGGGCUUGGCAUUCUUGAGACGAGUAAACUGUUCACGUGCCUUGACUUUGACGAGCUCAAAGGCUUUCCUCAUUGUGUCGGCUCUAAAUUGUGCGGCUAGGAAAGCUCCAUAGGAAGCCCUGAAGGAGACGGCCAAGAUCUUUGGGUCUAAGAGAAACUCGCUGUUUGGGUGAAUGAUAUCCUCAAAAGCCUCGAUAGUGAACUUCCCGUUCUCCUUUAUGAUUUGCCUUAUCUCGCCUUCUUCUGCAAUGUAGAGUGGGGUGCUAAAAGAGUUCACCUUAUCUUGCUCGAUGACACCCUUUUAUUCAAUCAAGAAAAUUGGAAGAUUAUGUUAGUUAUGUAAUUGUAGAUAUAUAGAAGUAAAUAUGAUUAUAUAUAUUAUGAUAUGAAAUGUUAAUUUAAAAAAUUAAACUGAUAUUUUAAUCAUAAAUAUAAUUAUGUUGGUCAUAACUACACAUAUGAUCAAUUUUAAUAUUUGUAUUCUUUAUUUUUAUAUCUAUAUAUCAAGCUGAUCCUAAUCUUAUAUAUAAAACUUGGCCAAUUCUCUUCAGUUGAGUGACACAUCAGCGCUGGAGAGAACGCCACCUGUCAUCUUCAAAUUUAAUAAAAUAAUUAAUUAAUUAAAUUUAAAGUAAACACAAUAAAACAUAUUAAAACAUAUUAAAACACAUUAAAACACAUUAAAAAACAUAAGUAAAUAUUGAUAUAUAUUUAUAUUAGAAUAAAAUUCAAAUUUAAUUUAACUAUAUACAAACUUAUAAAUAUUAUAUAAUACAAGAUUUUUUAAAUGCACAAUUCUAUUUUUUUAAAAUGUUUUAAACUUCAUUUAUAAACUAAAAAUAUAAUUAAAUUUUAAUGCAAGUGAAAAAAAAUUAUGAGACUAAAUAAGUUAAAAAUUUUAAAUAAUCUUAUAUAAAAAUUCAACUACUAAAAUUAAAAAACACAAAUCAUAUUUAAUAAACUAUUAAAAAGAUAAAAGUUAUUAAAAAUAAUAGUAAAAAGAAAGAUAUCCACAUAAAAAUGUCAUCUAUGGUUUUUUUUUAAGUAAUAAAAAAAAAGAUGAAAUCAAUAAAAUAUAUAUAACCAAAUAAAAAUCAAAUAUUAAAUUAAAAAAAAAUAACAAAUAUUAUAUUAGUACGAUUUACAAGAAUAAAAAGAAUAUAAAGAUCGAAGAAAAAAUAAAACUAUUUAAUACAACUGAUGUAGAGGAGAUUACAUAUAAUAUAUCAUCAAGAAGAAAAAAAAAUAUAACUAUUUUAGACAAAAAAUACAUUAAUAAUAAACUUAAAGUUCAAUACAAAUUAUUUAAAAUAUAAAUUCAAACAAGAUCCGCGCAUACGCACGGGUUCUCUCCUAAUACAAUAAAUAUAUACAUGUUGAGCAAGAUCGUUGAAAGCAUCUCCGAUGAAAUCCAUCACAAUUCCUUUAGAGGUCUCGGACAUCUUAAUUCCAUCUCUUAGACACGAUCCGAAAAUCAACAUCAAUCCCCCGGGGACAAGCUCUUCAGCUCUAGCGUCAAGUAGAUCUUUGGUGUCGGCUGAGUACUGAUCAAGAUAAGCUUUCUUGACUGCUCCAUUGAAGCCAGUGCAGUGCAUGUCUCUGUUCCACGAAGGAGAGUCCCGGUUCGUGAUCCCUUUGGGGAUUUUGGAGGUGAAAUGGAACGCGUAAUUGAUAACUCCAAUGUGGAAACUCUGCUUAGGAAGAACACGUUCGAAGCAAGAACCAGGAACCCCG
rnacentral:lncRNA from 1 species